AUUGAACGCUGGCGGCAGGCCUAACACCUGCAAGUCGAACGAGUGGCGGACGGAUGAGUAAUGUAUGGGCAACUGCCCGAUGGAGGGGGAUAACUACUGGAAACGGUAGCUAAUACCGCAUACCAUCGGAUGUGCCCAGAGGGGAUUAGCUUGUAGGUGGGGGAACGGCUCACCUAGGCGACGAUCCCUAGCUGGUCUGAGAGGAUGACCAGCCACGCUGGAACUGAGACUCGGUCCAGACUCCUACGGAGGGCAUCAGUGGGGAAUAUUUCACAAUGGGCGCAAGCCUGAUGCAGCCAUGCCGCGUGUAUGAAGAAGGCCUUCGGAUUGUAAAGUACUUUCAGCGGGGAGGCGUUACCCGCAGAAUAAGCGCCGGCUAACUCCGUGCCAGCAGCCGCGGUAAUUC
rnacentral:rRNA from 1 species